GUGAAACGAGAUUGUUGUUGCUACAGAUGGCGGAUAGGUUGUAAACAGUUUAGAAAAAAGAGGAAUAAUGGAUGAAGAUUAUGGUCAUAUGUUUGGUGGGGAGGAAUAUUUAGAUGAUGAUGGUUUUGAUGAUGACAUCAUUGAUUAUGAUGAUGGGGAUGCUGGAGGAGAUGACCUUGACCUUGGUUCUGAAGAGGAUGCAGAGUCUCAAAUUGAGGAACCAACACCUGAGUUACUAGAAGAAAAGAUCUCCAAAAAAGAACAGCUUCAUAUGAUCCACUUACGUGCCUUACUGAAUGAAAUGACAGAGAAAGUAAAACACCAUCAAUAUCUCACAGAAAAAACUAGAGAAGAAAUGAAGCAAUGUCGAUCAAGAAUGAGUCAGUUAGAGACAGAAAGAGACCAAGUGUUUGGUCACAUACAGUCUGCUGAUUCAGAUGGCAACACGUCAGCUUUAUAUAGAUUGAGAGACCAGCAUGCUAAACUAUGUCAGGAAUUAGAAGAUGAAAGGACUUUAGAAAAAAUGAUUCAAGACAGACUAGAAAAUGAAGAAUAUGAACUAGCCAAAGUUGAGGUAGAGAGAGGUAAAUUUUUACUGGCAGAAGAUGAACUUGUAAAGAAAGAACAUCAGUUAGCAACAGAAAAAACAGACAUGGCUCUUGACAGGCUUAAGAAAGAGGAAUGGAAAGUUAGGAAGGCUAUACAUCACAGAAAAAGUAAAGAAAGGCAACAAUUGGAAGCUUUACAAGACCACAGACAGAGACAGCAGAUGCACAUUGAAGAUUCAAAGCAAAGUCAUGAAAAACACCAAAAAUACCUCAGUGCUACCAUGGAAAAAAUGAAGAAAAGGCAAGAUGAAGAAAAUAUUAGAUAUAAAGAAAAUAUGCAGAAAAAGAUGGAUAUGUUACUGAAGCUAAAAUCAGAUAUCACCUCAAACAGGGAAAAUUUAAAAGCCUUGCACGCAAGAGAUAAGGCUUUAGAGAAAGAAAAAAAGCAACAGGAAGAAGAAGAAAGACAAAGAAUUCUUAGUGAAGGUGGAAAUCCUGACCAGGAAUUUCUGAUCAGGAAGAGGAUUGAAACAUUUGAAAGACAUAAAUCAGACUUUGAAGUUCAAAAAAGAAGCAGAGAAUCGACAAUAAUGGGUAAAAUUUUACUGGAAGAAGAACGAAUGAGGAAAAGGAAAAAACAACAACCACAGCUAUUUUCAGAUCCCAAAAGGGAAAAAUCAUUGGUUGUUAGUGCUCAGAAAAAGAAACCACUGAAGAUAAUGAGAGAUAUGUCUGGAUCUUCUGUGUUUGAUGAGACUGAGCUUAGAGACAGUAAAGUAGACUUUUCAAUUGAUGAGUUAGAAAAGCAAGAUGAUUCUGACAGUGAACGAAGACAAACAGAAUCAGUCCGACCAUCUAGUUCUGAUGAGAAGAAAAUACCCGACUCCAGUGAUUCGGAGGAUGGAGAAAGUGAUGAUGAAAGAAAGGUAGAUCUUGCUCAGCCAGAAUUUCAGGGUCUGUGGAGUGAACACAAACCUUACAAAGUACCUAGUGAAACUAAUACAGUGAAACUACCAGGAGCUAGUAAGAUGGAAAAGGAUAUACUGAACAAAGUAUUGGACAAGCACAGAUCAGGUAUAAUCGUAAAACAGGUAGCUGCUGGUAGAGAAUUCCAAGGAUGUCCAUUUUAUAGCAAGCCUGAUGUUAUACAUUUCAAGGACUUUGAUGUAGGGAAGUCUUAUAAAAAGAAAGUUACCCUGACUAAUGUAUCCUAUACUGUGAACUACUGUAAAUACAUCAACAUCACAGAACAUCUUAAAGACUUUAUAGAAAUACAGUUUGACCCUCCAGGUCAGAUGUCUGCUGGUUUGACUUGUGAGAUGAUGGUUACUUUUAAACCAAUGAUAAAUGAAGAUUUGGUUGGUGAAGUUAAUUUCCUAUCACAGACUGGACCUUUCUCUAUACUUCUCAAAUGUACAACUAAAAAAUGUGAUCUGUCAGUAGAUACGAACAAAGUAGAGUUUGGCACCACUGUUAUCGGAGAGACUCUGAAAAGGACAUUUACUUUGACUAAUAAUGGAGCUCUUGGCACUAAAUAUGAGUUCUUUAAACUGACAGGCUCAAAACUAAGGACUGUGACUACUGCUGAAACAUCAUUAGGACGUUUGACUACAGCUGACACACUGAGAGGAGGGACACCUGAUUCCCUGUCAAUGAUGAAAAAAGAGGCAGCUCCACCUGGUGAAAAGAAACCUGACCAAGAAAUUGUUGACAAAGCUAGCCAGGAAGGAGGAGGUACAUCUAUUGACCACCAGGGAACACAAGCUGAAGCUGAUGCUAUGAGUGGUACUAUGGGAGACGUUGAAGAUGGAGAACAGUCCCCAGACCUGGCCAUCAGUGAAAUAGAGGACUAUGGAUCCCUGGAUGGGAUGAAAGUUGGUCCAAUGUCUACUGGAGAAGUGGGUCCAUUUUCCUCUGUCAAGUUGGAGAUUAUCUGGCAGCCACAUAUCCCUGGAAAAGUGUUUACAGAAUUCUUGAUAUCCUUUAGUGACCCUCUCUCAGAAAGUAUUUCUAUACAAGCCCUAGCUAAUGCCAUUGAUGUGCCAGUUUGGGUUGAGAGACAGACUGUCGAUCUUAAGAUCUGUAUGUAUGACAGGCUGUACCAAGAUACCAUCAUUGUCAACAACAGGGCAACAACAGCAUUGAGGUUAAAGUUUGAAGUAUGUAAAGAACUGAAGAAUCAUCUUGAACUGCUACCAAAAACUGGGUACAUCCAAGCUCAGUCACAAUUCUCUGCCCAGCUUAAGUUUUUACCAAGGAAAAGUCUCUUUCAAGAAGCUGGUAAAUAUUUUGACAAAGAAACAGGUGUGUUGGAAGCUCCAAUGAUCAUCAGAGUGGCUGAUCAGACUCAGCCAGUACCAUUCACUGUCCAGGCUGUAGUGACAACCUCUGAUAUGGAGUUUGACAUAACCAACAUAAACUUUGGUUGUUGUACCAUCCAUGAGUCAGUGAAGACAAGAAUACGUCUUAGUAACAAGUCCAUCUUGCCACAGGAAUAUGGCUUUGUUGGCCUACCAGAUUAUGUUGAGGUACAACCAGAUGAUGGAUUUGGAACACUGUUGCCAUUGGAAAGCAUUGACCUGGAUGUGAUCUUCAGUCCCAAGAAAGCUAGGGAAUAUAAAUUUGAACUGAAUUGUAAAUCAAUAAUUAACAGGGAGUUUAAGAUCCAGUGUGAAGGGGUAGGUGUACAUCCACCAUUGGAUCUAUCUCACCAGGUUAUACACUUUGCUGCCACAGCCUUAUAUGAUGUAUCAACUGCUACAGUCCAUGUCAAUAAUUCACACAUCAGCACCAAUGAGUUCACUCAUCCUGUGCCAAGGAUUGGUAAAGGAGAAAUAGUACCGGUUGGACCAACAUCAUUUGAAUUCAAGAUACCAGAGGGAGCUCCUCUGACCAUUUCACCCUCUGUAGGAACAAUAGAACCAGGAAAGAAAUGUAGGGUUCAAGUGAGGUUUGCUCCACAGUUGGAGGAGAUGGAUGUUAGGAAGGAAGGAGUGAGAAUGGCUUCCAAAGCCAUGGAGGCAAAGGCACAGAAAGAAUACCAGGAGUCUCUACAGAGAGAGAAAGAAAAGGCUGAUGAAGCUUUGGAAGAUGGAGAAGAUGAGAAAUCAGGAAAUAAAGGUAAAGGAAAAGAUGGGAAAUCCCCAGCUAAAGGGAAGGGGAGACAAUCACCAGGUGUCCCUACUCUUACUGUGGCUGGACCCAAACCUUUUACACCUCCAACACUAGAGAAUAUCACAAAGGAUACACCAGCUUAUGCAGCAGCCUUGGGAUCUCUGUUGAGACAGUAUAAGAGCUGCUUUAGAACCUAUGUUAUACCAUGUUAUGUAGCAUCAGGGAAAUGUGGUAAUCCAGGAGAACUACCUUACACUAAUAACAACACAUUAUACAUGGAGGUCCAUUGUCCUGUUGUAAAGCCUACCUUGGUGGCGAUCUCAGACCAUGGGAAGACAACUCUAGAUUUUGGAGAAGUUUCACUAGGCCAGACAAUCAUCAAAUCUGUCACUAUACAGAAUAUAUCCAAGAAAACCAUAGAAUUAACAUCAUCACUGCUGGACACAUCUGGACCUUUCCUCAUGUUGAAUGCAUUAAGAGUUUUACCACCAGAUGGCACUCAUACAAUACUGAUUUCAUUUACACCUGAAGCUGGUCGUGUGUUCCAUGAAGUGCUACAAAUCAACAGUGGGACAUCAGUGUUACAUGUGACAGUGAUGGGUGAGGGUGUCAACCCAAUUAUUAACCUUGAUAUGCCUACAGAAAAUGGUGCAUUUGAUAUUGGUGCUGUUUUAGCUGGAGAAUACUUAGAAAGAACAUUUAAGAUGCAGAAUUCCUCCUCACUGUCCAUAGAUUAUUCUAUAAAAUUAGAAAGUCUGUCGUUAUUACGGCAUGCAAAAAGUCAAGAGUUACCCUCAUUUAUAAAACAAGAUGAAAAGAUGAAAAGUUUAGUUGGCACUCAAAACAACAAUGGUCAAAAUGUUUUUGACUUGGUUCCAUCAGAAGGUCGAAUAGCACCAGGGGCAACACAAGAAGUUACAGUGACCUUUGCCCCAGAUCAUCCUAGUGACCACUAUUCUGAUUUUGUUAAAAUAGAAUUAUUUGGAAAGAAAGAAUCUCAUUCCUUCCACAUCAAAGGCAUGGCCAAGAAAAAUGUAAUGUUUGUCCAUGGUGUGGAUGAAACAACAGUUAAUGUGGAAUCAUUAUCAGAAAAUCCACCCUCAACAUUAGAAGAAGAAGAAUUAAAGGGCAUUUUACCAUCAGUAUUAUUUAGUGUUAAGAGCAUAGCCAAAGAAUCAGAAUUUGUACCAGGUUCCAGAGAUAUAUAUGUGGGCUGUGUCAGGACAAUGGCAGUCAGUCAGAAAAAGGAAGUCAAAGGAAAGAAGUUUAAUGGGGUAAGAAGUCUGCUUUGUUUAGAGUAGUUCUAUAUACAAUGGAAUUUUCAGUUAUUUGUUUUUGUAUGUUUGAAUGCAAAUAAUUGUUUCUAGUUCUUCAAGCAAUUGUUUUUUCUAUUCUGUAAAACUCAUUUAUUCCAGCCAGGAUCUUCUCAUGAAAAAAUCACAUUUCGACAUCUGGGUUUUCAUAACCUACAUUUUAUGCAUGAGUAGUUGUGAUAAGAUUUGCAUUUACAUUUAUUUCUGAUCUGACUUGUGAUAUAUCAAUGUGAUAUUUUACCACUAAAUGCUACAAAAGUUUCAAUUAUUUGGUCAUGAUGACUUUAAAAUCAAAUGAGAAACUUCUGUUACUGGUCAGUAUUGAACCAAGAAUCAUUCUUAGAAAUUGGCUGGAAUAAGUUCAUUCUUUGUUUAUACAGUUUUAUAAAGAAAUCACGUUUUAAAUAUGUUGAUUUAAAAUUGUUUAAAAAUCAAUUAUUAAAUUUUUUCCAUAAAGCUUUUACAUAUUUAUACAUAAAAUAUUAAAAGAGAGAAUUAAUAACAUUGAAAAUGUGUUUCUUCUCUCUCUAUCUGACAUCUGUAUGAGAACUUUACAAUUUAUAAAGUGAUCUUUUAUUGUAUCACUUUUGUAUGUCACUGUCUUUUUGACUUUGAAGUCAGAAUGUUGUUUUCUCUCAAUUUUUCUGUCAAAAACAACUUUGUUAUGUCUGGAACAGCACCAUUUGCAUGAGUUGCAAUAUCUUGGUGAUUAGCAAUGUGAAACACCAAACGGAGGCUUUUAUGGGAUAAAUCUGGUUGCAAUUUAAAGUGAAAUGAAAAUUGGCAUGAUAAAGGGUUACUUAUAAUGGUUUUCAAUUUGAUAUAUUUUUAAAGAUCAUUUGCAUAUUUCAGUUAAGCCAAAUUUGCUACUUAUAUAGCAUUUCUUUGAAAAAUGAAUAACAGCACUUAUAUAUUUUUUAUUCUAUCAGAAUAACUAAUUCAUAUAAAAUUUGUACAUAAUAAUUGGUUAAUAUGCUUUACAGCAAGAAAGCAUGAUUGAUUAGGAAUUAAAGAUGGUAUUUUUUGUCUAUUUAUAGAAUGGUGAAUUCCAGUUUGAGAAUGUGCAAGCUAUAACUUCAAAAGGUUUUAAUAUAGAUCCUCAAAGGGUGUACGAGUAUACCAGGACUAAGAACGUUAAGGGUAUGGUAGAAGCAGGAAACCUGAAACCAGUUACUGUCACCUG